rnacentral:rRNA from 1 species
UAGGGAAUAUUGGGCAAUGGUCGCAAGACUGACCCAGCCAUGCCGCGUGCAGGAAGACGGCCCUCUGGGUUGUAAACUGCUUUUAUCUGGGAAGAAAAAGUCCAUGCGUGGAAAAUUGCCGGUACCAGAUGAAUAAGCACCGGCUAACUCCGUGCCAGCAGCCGCGGUAAUACGGAGGGUGCAAGCGUUGUCCGGAUUUAUUGGGUUUAAAGGGUGCGUAGGCGGCUGAAUAAGUCAGCGGUGAAAGACUUCGGCUUAACCGGAGCAGUGCCGUUGAUACUGUUUAGCUUGAGUGUUGGAGGGGUACAUGGAAUUGAUGGUGUAGCGGUGAAAUGCAUAGAUACCAUCAGGAACACCGAUAGCGAAGGCAUUGUACUGGCCAACAACUGACGCUGAGGCACGAAAGUGUGGGGAUCGAACAGG